rnacentral:lncRNA from 1 species
UCAGUUCUUCCACCGUCAGCCCGGCCCAUGUCGAAGGCCAGGCCGAUCUGAACCAUCGCCAUCCUCGCCGUCCGGCCACCGCCCACCGGCAAACGGCGGCCUCGCUCCCGCUCCGGCGGGCUGCGGGGGCAGAGGCAGGCCGCGGGAGACCGAGAGGCCUACCGUCCGGUGACUCCUAGCUCGAGGCCACCCGCGGGCUAUGCUCCUGAUUCCUGAGGUAAAUCAAAGCUAGUGGAGUACCAUGGCUUGGUUGAUUCUCCAGUGUUGUUUAGAGAUCGGGGAAGGUGGCUUCAAAUGCUUGGUUGAGAUUUAUGGCGUUUCUCGAUGCGGUAUUGCAGUGUCGUUUGGUUGCGGAUUAGCGGCCCGCGCGUGGUGGAUUGGAGAUACAGCACUCGAAAUAUAGUCACAACUUGAUACUGCAGGUACAUUUGUAUUCAUGCAUAAUCGUGACAUGAUUCGGUUACUAUCAGAUUUCAGUUUAUUUUAGUUCCUUCCAGUUUUCUACUUAUUGAAGCAGAUUGUAUUAACUCAAUUUCACUACUACAUCACAAAGCUGGACAAUCAAGUAAGUUUUGCCUGGCCUGGGGUGUCAAUAUGUCAUCUUGCUGGGGCUGGAGCCACUGAAUUAGCCUUGCUGAAGUGAGAACCACUUGAGAUCACUAGCCACUGCUUAUCUUCUAACCAGCAUGGCACAUUAUUUAUCGACUUGAUCAUAACUGGUUUAGCCAAAAUAUCUGGGCAUGGUUAUCUGAUCAUAUAGCACACCUACUCCAAAGAACACACCAAAUGCAAUUGCAAACACUACCUUGUCAAUAUACUGCUUUGCGGAGAUAGGGGUUGUUGGAGCUGCUACCGCUGAAUUGCAAUGGUGUUCAAGCAUAGGGCUGCAUAGCUUUGGGUUCCCAGCAAAACUAGAACUUAGGAAUGUGCUGAACUGGCCUCCAAUUGGUACAGGCCCUUCAAGGUCAUUGUAGGAAACAUUGAAUUCAGAAAGGAAAUGAAGGUUCACCAGCCCUGAUGGGAUUGGACCUGUCAGAUGGUUGGAAGACAGGUCUAGCACCAUCAGAUUCUUGAGGUUGCUGAUCGCUUGUGGGAUCUCCCCGUUUAAGUUGUUGAAGCUCAAGUUGAGUGAAAGCAGUUCUUUCAACUGACCAAUCUCCAUGGGGAUCACACCACUUAAUUUGUUGUUACCUAGAUUCAACAUUUUUGGGAAUGCACUAGUCGCACGGUACUGAAAACACAAACAUGCGCCCACAUAAACUGUAAAAGGGGAGACUAUUAGGUCAGGGUGAUCUUCAAUCUUGUCCGAUUUUAGCAUUGGCAUCUGCAUCAAUGCUGUUGGUAUUUCUCCAGUGAGGCUAUUAUUCGAUAUGUCAACAUACUUAAGGAAGUUAAGGCUACUGAUCCAGGUUGGUAUUGGUCCACUGAGUUGAUUGUUAUAUAAUGCUAAAAGUUGCAAACUUCUGAGCUUUGAUAGCCAAUUAGGUAUUUUUCCAGUCAGUGCACAAUCAUUUAUGCCGAGACCCUGAAUAUUCUUAAAACCAUCAAUUGUUUCAUCCUCUGGCAUAGCUUCAUGCAUGAAGUUGCCACCGAGUAGCAAGACAGUGAGAUUCCUUAAGUUCUUCAAUAUGUGGAGUGUAUUUGUAAUAUUUUUAAAAUUGUUGUAGGAAAGAGAUAUGAAGGUGAUGGACUUCAAAUUUUCUAUUUUCUUUGUCAACUCUCCAUGAAGCUUGUUUGUGGAUAGCCGCAACCAAGUCAAAUUACUGCAUGAGUAGAUGCUUUCUGGAAUUGUGCCAAUGAAGUAAUUUGAAGAUAAAUCUAAAAUUUUCAGAUUGGGCAAGGUGGAGAAGUUAACCUUGGCAAGCUCUCCCUUCAACUUAUUUUUCUUGAGGUUGAUAGUAACUAGAUUUGUGCAAUCACCCAAGGUUGGUGGCAGCUCUCCAGAUAUGUUGUUUUCUUCCAUGUGAAGUUCUUCUAGUCUCUUCAGUUGACCUAUAGAAUCUGGGAUUUUGCCACUGAAUCUGUUCCCACCGAGAUCAAGAAAACCUAGAUUACUGAGCUUUAUCAUUAGUGCAUCGUCAAUUAUUCCUUGCAAGUGGUUAUUAGGAAAGGAGAGGUACUCCAAUGAGGUGGCUCUGAAGAGAUCAUCUGGCAGGGUCCCAAUGAUGUUGUUUUGGCCAACCCUGAGCAUUCUAAGGGAGGAGCAUUUACCUAUUCCAGGGGGGAUGCUGCCACUGAAUUGGUUGUAAGAAAGGUCAAGCACAGCAAAGGAUGGUGAGCUGAUGCAGAAAGAGGAAGGUAUGUGCCCACUAAAACUGUUGUUGCUCGCAUUGAUUGCUACCAGGUUGCUCAUUUUCUCCCAUGUUGUGGAGGGAAAUGCUCCCGUAAACAGGUUGCUUGAGAUAUUCAGUACCUGGAGAGGCCGGUCAGGUGAUGACGAAUUCAGCUCCUGCAAUUCUCCAUCCAGGCGGUUGAAGCUGACAUCAAGGAC